AAAUUGAAGAGUUUGAUCAUGGCUCAGAUUGAACGCUGGCGGCAGGCCUAACACAUGCAAGUCGAGCGGUAGCACAGAAGAGCUUGCUCUUCGGGUGACGAGCGGCGGACGGGUGAGUAAUGUCUGGGAAACUGCCUGAUGGAGGGGGAUAACUACUGGAAACGGUAGCUAAUACCGCAUAACGUCUUCGGACCAAAGAGGGGGACCUUCGGGCCUCUUGCCAUCGGAUGUGCCCAGAUGGGAUUAGCUAGUAGGUGAGGUAAUGGCUCACCUAGGCGACGAUCCCUAGCUGGUCUGAGAGGAUGACCAGCCACACUGGAACUGAGACACGGUCCAGACUCCUACGGGAGGCAGCAGUGGGGAAUAUUGCACAAUGGGCGCAAGCCUGAUGCAGCCAUGCCGCGUGUGUGAAGAAGGCCUUCGGGUUGUAAAGCACUUUCAGCGGGGAGGAAGGCGAUAAGGUUAAUAACCUUGUCGAUUGACGUUACCCGCAGAAGAAGCACCGGCUAACUCCGUGCCAGCAGCCGCGGUAAUACGGAGGGUGCAAGCGUUAAUCGGAAUGACUGGGCGUAAAGCGCACGCAGGCGGUCUGUUAAGUUGGAUGUGAAAUCCCCGGGCUUAACCUGGGAACUGCAUUCAAAACUGACAGGCUAGAGUCUUGUAGAGGGGGGUAGAAUUCCAGGUGUAGCGGUGAAAUGCGUAGAGAUCUGGAGGAAUACCGGUGGCGAAGGCGGCCCCCUGGACAAAGACUGACGCUCAGGUGCGAAAGCGUGGGGAGCAAACAGGAUUAGAUACCCUGGUAGUCCACGCUGUAAACGAUGUCGACUUGGAGGUUGUGCCCUUGAGGCGUGGCUUCCGGAGCUAACGCGUUAAGUCGACCGCCUGGGGAGUACGGCCGCAAGGUUAAAACUCAAAUGAAUUGACGGGGGCCCGCACAAGCGGUGGAGCAUGUGGUUUAAUUCGAUGCAACGCGAAGAACCUUACCUACUCUUGACAUCCACAGAUUUGGUAGAGAUACCUUAGUGCCUUCGGGAACUGUGAGACAGGUGCUGCAUGGCUGUCGUCAGCUCGUGUUGUGAAAUGUUGGGUUAAGUCCCGCAACGAGCGCAACCCUUAUCCUUUGUUGCCAGCGAGUAAUGUCGGGAACUCAAAGGAGACUGCCGGUGAUAAACCGGAGGAAGGUGGGGAUGACGUCAAGUCAUCAUGGCCCUUACGAGUAGGGCUACACACGUGCUACAAUGGCGUAUACAAAGAGAAGCGAACUCGCGAGAGCAAGCGGACCUCAUAAAGUACGUCGUAGUCCGGAUUGGAGUCUGCAACUCGACUCCAUGAAGUCGGAAUCGCUAGUAAUCGUAGAUCAGAAUGCUACGGUGAAUACGUUCCCGGGCCUUGUACACACCGCCCGUCACACCAUGGGAGUGGGUUGCAAAAGAAGUAGGUAGCUUAACCUUCGGGAGGGCGCUUACCACUUUGUGAUUCAUGACUGGGGUGAAGUCGUAACAAGGUAACCGUAGGGGAACCUGCGGUUGGAUCACCUCCUUACCAAAAAGA
rnacentral:rRNA from 1 species